rnacentral:miRNA from 14 species
UGCGUGCGUGUGUGUGUGUGUGUGUGUGUGUGUGUGAUAAAAUGAAUCACGGGUUUUUAGAAGCGCCUCAGACAACAAAAGCUCGUCAAGAUCAUCUGAAGAGUUAAUCCGAGCUGGAGUGGAGAUCACCUUCCUCAGUUCACACUUCUGGAAGAUAGUGAUCACACACACACACACACGCACGCACACACACACACGCGCACACA